UCCCCCGUGAGGGGGCAGUCUCGCCUGACUUGUAAAACAGGCAACGCGGGUUGCGUUCGUUACCCCACUGAAGGGAACAACUCAAGCCACGAACUGACGACGACCAUGCAUCACCUGCCCAACUGUCUUGCGAAAGCCAAAGUUUCCUAAGGCGGUCAGUUGGGUUUCAAACCCUGGUGAGGUUUUUCGUUUAUCAUCGAAUUGAGCCGCAUGAUCCACCGCUUGUGCAAGUCCCCGUCUAUUCCUUUGAGUUUUAAUCUUGCGAUCGUACUACCCAGGCGCACAACUUAACGCGUUAGCUUCGCCACAAAGAGGGUCGAUACUCCUUAUAGCCAGUUGUGAUCGUUUAGGGCGUGGACUAC
rnacentral:misc_RNA from 1 species